rnacentral:rRNA from 1 species
CGGGUAAUACUUAGGGCGCCAAGCGUUGUCCCGGAAUUAUUGGGCGUAAAAGAGUUCGUAGGCGGUUUUGUCGCGGUCUUGCUGUGAAAACUCGAGGCUCAAACCUCGGGGCUUGCAGUGGGUUACGGGCAGACUAGAGUGCGGUAGGCGAGCCCCCGACCCUCCUUGUGUAGCGGUGGAAUGCGCAGAUAUCNNGAUGAANNNNGAUGGCGAAGGCAGUUCUCNNNNNNNNNCUGACGCUGAGGAGCGAAAGCAUGGGGAGCGAACAGGAUUAGAUACCCUGGUAGUNCAUGCCGUAAACGUUGGGCACUAGGUGUGGGGCUCAUUCCACGAGUUCCGUGCCGCAGCAAACGCAUUAAGUGCCCCGCCUGGGGAGUACGGCCGCAAGGCUAAAACUCAAAGAAAUUGACGGGGGCCGCACAAGCGGCGGAGCAUGCGGAUUAAUUCGAUGCAACGCGAAGAACCUUACCAAGGCUUGACAUACACCGGAAACUUCCAGAGAUGGUUGCCCCGCAAGGUCGGUGUACAGGUGGUGCAUGGUUGUCGUCAGCUCGUGUCGUGAGAUGUUGGGUUAAGUCCCGCAACGAGCGCAACCCUCGUCCUAUGUUGCCAGCGGGUCAUGCCGGGGACUCAUAGGAGACUCCGGGUCAACUCGGAGGAAGGCGGGC